rnacentral:lncRNA from 1 species
CCCUAUGAAAAUAUUGAAUUUUUCGGUAAAUGCUCUAUAUACUAAAGCCUAUGAUCUUUAGUCUUGUUUGAAAAUUUCUAAACACAUUAUACAUUUGUAUUAAUAUAUAUUAAACUCUAUUUCAUGGUACAUGCAUCGUUUUAAUUUUUUGACAGGUAAUUUAAUAAAAUUUCAUAAUACUCCCUAAAUUGGUGUACUAACCACUAUAAAAUCCCUAUUUUCUAGAGAAACGGAGACAACAAAAGUUUCAAGCCUUCACCAUAUGUUAGUGAAAUAUGAAACUAUGCAUUAAAAUAGUGUUUUCAUAUUUUUGAAUUCUUCUCAAAAUCUAUGUGUUAUAACCUCCCUACGAAUAUAUUGAAUUUUUCGGUAAAUGCUCUAUAUACUGAAGUCUAUGAUCUUUAGUGUUGUUUUAAAAUUUCUAAACACAUUCUACAUUUGUAUUAAUGUUUAUUAAACUCUCUUUCAUGGUACAUGGGUAUCGUUUUAAUUUUUGUCAAUUAAUUUAGUAAAACUUCAUAAUACUCCCUAAAUUGGUGAACUAACCACUAUAAAAUUGCUAUUUUCUAAAAAAAACGGAGAUAACGAAGGUUCCAAACCUCUUUGACCUUCAUAAUAUGUUAGUCAAGGAUGCAACUAUGCGUUAAAACAAUAUUUUCAUAUUUUUGAAUUUUUCUCAAAAUCUAUGUGUUUAAGUCUACGAAAAUAUUGAGUUUUUCGG